rnacentral:rRNA from 1 species
AGUGAACGCUGGCGGUAGGCCUAACACAUGCAAGUCGAACGGCAGCACAGUAAGAGCUUGCUCUUACGGGUGGCGAGUGGCGGACGGGUGAGGAAUACAUCGGACUCUACUUUUUCGUGGGGGAUAACGUAGGGAAACUUACGCUAAUACCGCAUACGACCUACGGGUGAAAGCAGGAGAUCUUCGGACCUUGCGCGAUUGAAUGAGCCGAUGUCGGAUUAGCUAGUUGGCGGGGUAAAGGCCCACCAAGGCGACGAUCCGUAGCUGGUCUGAGAGGAUGAACAGCGACUGUGGAAGUGAGACACGGUACAGACUCCUACGGGAGGCAGAGGUGGGGAAUAUUGGACAAUGGGCGCAAGACUGAUCCAGCCAUACCGCGUGGGUGAAGAAGGCCUUCGGGUUGUAAAGCCCUUUUGUUGGGAAAGAAAAGCAGCAGGUUAAUACCCCGCUGUUCCGACGGUACCCAAAGAAUAAGCACCGGCUAACUUCGUG